AAUUUCAGCACCUGAAGUUCAGGCUCUCCCCAAACUGGAUGGAGACGCCGAUGGGACAGUGACUGAAACAGAGGCGCGGAAAACUGGAGGAGGAGCUUUCAAUGGAUUUUGGGCCACACCACCAGUUUGUCUUCAUGCACAGAGUGUUACGAGAUCACCAAUGAGUAAAGCUGGUGUGUGGGGAGCAGACGGAAGUCCUGUCCAGGGCAGAGCCCAGCCGCUGUGAGUAUCUGUUUGAGCUGCAGACACCUGUGGCCUGCAACCAGCCCUGAAACAUGAGGAGCUCUAGCGGGGCGAGAGAACCAGGGAGUCACUCUGAGUGAGAGGGGCCUGCUGACCAGCUAGCAAGCCUCAUGUGAUGGGACACUGUCCAGAAUGGGGUGGGGUGAUAAGAUGUGCUGUAUGUGUCCGUCACAGAAUAUUUAUGGUAUUGUAGAGCUAUACAGGGGUUGGAAGCUUUGAAACACUUGUGAUAUGUGGCAUACACCUUUGCAAGUGAGCUGUCGCAUGCCGCCUUUGUUUUGUGAAUAGGAUCUUUCACGAGUUCUGUAAUUUAGAGAAGCUGCCUCCGUGCUGCAGUGAGCCACACAGCUGAUCUAGAAACCUUGCUAGGGGCUAAUGGUAGUUACUCGGUUGACAGGUGUAAUCACUGAGGAAUGGUCACAUAUCCCUCAAGAACGAUUGAAACACUUUGCAGAUUUUGGAUCCUAGCUGUCCGUUGACGGUGUUAUGACAGGUGCUCUCCCAUUUUUGUGCCAGUGCCUGCAUUAUUAAAGGUGUAUGUUGUAUAACUGUCUUUGAACAAAUAUAAAAAGAAGCAGUGAAAUUGUGUUUGCCGUUGCCGCUGUCUGUGGCUUUUCUCAGAGCCCAGUCUCUUUGUUUGUUUGUUUGUUUGCAGGUUACUGCAGGCUUGUUGGAAAUGAGACGAGGACCUCUUGCACAGAGCAUGGAGGACCUCAGUUGCACUUUGCAUAUUUUAAUUCAGUGUGACAGAUGGUAGCAAGUGGGCGUUGCACCUUAAUGUUCGCAACAGAUUUCCAGAUCCUAAAGAAUUACUGAACACCUUGUUUUGAAAUGAGAAAGAAAUAAGACACACACAGAUCAACAGAACGCAUAUCUCCUUGACCCUUUGAAAAUUAAAUAAAGCAAUGUUUCAGACAGAAAUAACCAGCCCACUAUGUGUUAAUAAUGAUUGAGUACUGAUGACAUGUCUAAGCCAGUGUGGUUUCUGAAUUUGUACUUGGGUAAAAAGGACAGCUGGAGUACAUGUGUGCACGUGUAUGGAUUAUUUCAUGCUGGAGGUCUUUUUAAAGGCUCUGAACUUUCCCUUUGCUGCUAAAAUAUGUGGGAUAUCCUAAAUAAAGUGUAUCCAUGGAAGUGCCUCAUUCUAGUCCAGUUACCUGCUUUUGUUUAACUCUUAAAACACAAU